GACAACCGCCACGACGUCCCGAUAAGCACUCAUUACCCCGAAUGUCGAUCGAAACCCCGCAAGGCUUAGCAUCAACUUCCGCAUCUCUCCGGUGAGCGACAGUUAUUAAAUCUCGCAUUUCAAGAAAUCAUAAGUUGUUUCCAACUCAAAACAAUAAAAAUAUUAUUUUCUAGCUCACUGGGGCAUUUUCGUCAUUUUUUUUUUGAAAUUUCGAAAUCCGAAAAAAUGUAAUAUGUAAGUGGAAACACAUAUUUCAUGAUUUAAAUUAAAUUUUGAAGUCUAAAACAUUCGUUUAAAGUAAAAUUAUAGCUAUUUGAAUAUAAUAAAAAUAUUAAAUAAAAUAUUCUAUUUUCUUAAAACACAAUAUUUUCAAAGUCUUCCUAAAAUAACUUUUGUAGCGUAAGAGUAAAAUAAAUUUAUUCAUAUAGUAAUAAAGAUAAUUAAAGUAUGAAAUUUCGUUUACAGUGACACGUGGGCCCCCAACUAACCAAGAAGGUGUAGAGCUACGAACCCUUACUUCCUAUGAUGCAACUCCGAGAUUAAUUCUCGUCUUAAUCAACUAUCAACAAACUGUCCUGAGCCUGAAAAAUGGAUAGGAAGAGGGGUGAGAUUACAUAAUCCCAGUGAGUAAACAAUUACCAUCAAAAGCAUCUAAAGCCGAGUAGAUGGAGACAACAUAAAAACAUUAUAUCUCAAUAAUGUUCAUAACGCAAAAUUUGUUUCAAUCUAUACCAAACAAUUUAUUUUCAUCAAAAUUUCUCGGCUUAUGAAUUUCUUAAACUUGGCCCCUGCCAAAAUCAUUCUCGCGGGUACCUUCGUCAAGGUAUCCCACUGAGACCGCCAAGGCUGUUCAAUGACCCAUACCCAUAAACAUGUUUUCACAUCUGACACACAGCCGUUCCUUGGCGUUGGCUGAGUCUCACUCUCACGUGGUGGCCCGAACGUGAGGUGCACUCAAAUCAUACCUCAGGAGAUACUUCACCCAACAUCUCCCCCCGGAGGUAAGUAUAUAAUUGAGUUACCGUGCCCCUCUCAUAGGCAGUCCACGGAAACCCCCACCACUGCAGUGACCGUUUAAUAUACCACCAGACCCAUAAAAUUUCCAGUAGCUUAAUAUGGCGAAUAAAAUUUAAUCCAGUCUACCGAGACCAAUCCAAAAUUGUUCAUAUAUUUCAUGCCAACCCCAAAAAUUUAGCCAUCAUGCUACCAUAGUGUCAUAAGCCCCAAUUUCAAUAACAUAUAAAAUCAUAAAUUUCAACACAGUCUCCAUAUACUCAAUUUUCCCAAAACAAUAUUUGAUUUCAAAACCAGUAUAAAUCUCAUUUUUAUUAAAAAACAUUUUAAUUGGAAAACAUAAUAUUUUAUAAUUUAAACUCACCAUUCAAUAAAAGCAUCAAACAAGUAUAAUUACUCUAGAUAUUUAAGACGAUAAAUUGUCCACUCACAGUUCUAGGAGUCGAUGUACUCCUAAUCCCAGUCUUCAAGCACAAUUUCUGUACUUUUACCAGUGUAAUUUGCUCACCACCUAUCCACAAUGUACAAUACAUAAUUCACCACAUCAAUGCUUGACCAUUAUAAAAUCAAUUCAGGCUCGGUAUAUAUGCAUGAUAUGACAUGCAACUUAUCCGACUACCGCUUAAAUGCGGUGCUGACCUAAUUCGGCCUAUUACCCGAUUAAAUUACUAACGCGUCCAAUUUAAUCUCAAAUUAAUUUUUUUCAGUUUCUAUACCUCAAUUGCACCCAAAUUGACUUAAUGUCCCUCAGUGUGGUGCAAAUUAUCAGUCCUGAUAGCAAAUUACGAAAAUACCCCUAAUGGGUAAAAAUUCAUAUUUUUGCUCCGAAAAUUUCCAUUAUUUUUCUAGACUCAUAAUUCAUCAUUAUUCAUCAUAAUUCCUCAAAUAAACAUCAAGAUCAUCAGCCAAUAUUCCCCUAGAAAAUUCAGCCAAUAAUGGUAAUGGAGGAAAAUAAAUUCUUUUCUUGUUGUUUUGUUCCUAAAUAUGCUAAACUAACUUAAAACACUAACAUAACUUAAAAUCAAAUUAAUCUAACAAGUUUCUCUCUCCUAACCCAUUUUUCCAGAAUUGAAUUCAUCCUCAAAUCACAUGAUUCAACCAUGGAAAAUGAUGGGAAAUGCAUGGGAAAGGUAAAGCACAAGUCAAAAUCAAGAAAUUUUACCUUUGGUCACUUGUUUCCUUGAAUUUUCACCAAUUUUUCCUUGAAUUUCUCCCCCUAGGUUUUUGUUUUUCUUUUCCCCUUUGUUUUCUUGCUAUGGCCGGCCAUAAUGAAGAGAAA
rnacentral:lncRNA from 1 species